GUGUGCGUGUGCGGGUCUGCAACAUAGAAAGGAGAGGCAGGGGUGUGAGGGGCGAUGAGAACCAGACAGAAGAGUUGUGUGGAUUUACUUUAUUUUCUUUAUUUAUUAUGGGACAUGGACAAUUACUUUUGUUAAGACCCCGUGGAUCACAUUUAAACACCAGCCUCAAGGCGAUGUACCGCGUGCAUCAACCUGCACUGAAUCAACCUGCGCUACAUUCACACAGAUCAUUUCAGAAGAAGAACGUGCCGAUGCACAGCAGCAGCAGCAGAAGCAGCAGGAAGGCUCUCCUGUUAAACCUCAGCGUCAGCACCUGGUGAUAUGCUGACUUUGACAUAGGCUGUCAAAAACAGGUCCAAUGUUACUGCAGUUUGUUCUAUCAAUAUGUCAGUCUUGUUUGAAAAUCCAUUUUAAUGUUUGAAAAUAUUGUUUGUUUGAAUAGGCAUUGAAUGCUUCAAAGGUUAAAGAAACAUCAGAAGGCCUCACGAUAGCUCAGCUAACUGGUUAUUUCUUUCAGCUUUCCCCUAAUAAAGUUGUUUCUGAACAGGCUUGUUAUUAUCAGCUGGUUUUCCAUCAGAUGAAGGAGCAAAAAUAAACGUUUGAAAACAUUCUGAUUGGAAUGGAAUAAUAUUAUCCAGCCAAUAUUUGUUUGAUGUUUAAAUUGGGAAUGUCUGUAUUUCUUUUCAAAUUAUUACUUGUAGCAGUUUUGUUUAUAUUCAGAGAAUCAUUUUUGAAAAACAUAUAUUUCAUUAAUAUAUUUCUACAGGUAAUGGCUUGUAUCUGCUCACAAGAACAAUUAUCCCUCUUUAAACUUUGUUUCUAAUUUGAUUUGAUCAGACCCCCUCCUGUUUGUGUGACGGCUUCCCUUUUAUUGUUAUCAUGAUUCAUUUGUUUAUUUUCAAAUAUGUUUGAUAUGUUAUUCUUCUUUUUUGUAGACCCUGCCUUGGACAGAUGAAUUUCCCCUUGGGGAUCAAUAAAGAGUAUCAUCUUAUUUUAUUUCAUCUCAUCUCAUAUCAUCUUAUCACCAUGGCUGUGGCUUAUUAUUAUAAAGUAGGGCAUUUAUAAUAAUAAUAAUGUUGGACAUACAUGAGAGUGCCUACAGCUAGCCAAUAUUUAGAUUAAGAGGAAUAAAAUUUUUAAGCUAGAUAGAUAGAUAGAUAGAUAGAUAGAUAGAUAGAUAGAUAGAUAGAUAGAUA